GCAGCACAGAAGGGGCCGUUCUAAAGUUAACUUACUGCAUCAGGAGGUUCUCCCUCUCAGUUCUGGAGCUAUCAGACAGACUCAACUGACUGUUCUGCAGGACUGUGCUAUUUCUAUCCAGUGAUGGUGAACUUUUAAAAAAAAGCAAUUGAGCAAUGCUAUAGCCUACUACAUUAAUUUGACAACACUUAUAAAAUGGAUUAAAACAGCACCUGAACGGCCAAACUAAGAAAAAAGGAACCUAUAGAGCUCACAAGGACUUUUUUGAAAUUUGGCAUUUCUUUAAAUAGAACCUUCAGGUCAUAAGAGUCUAAGAUGGCGGACCAAACAAAAGAGGUGAAAAAGCAUCAGACCAACACAGAAAAACCAGACGACAAUGGAUCAGACUGUUCUAAUCUCAAUUCUAAAGAAUAAACUAGAAAAACGUCACCUGAAUUUAAUCCUACUAAUGAAUACUCAGUGAAUAUCGCUCUCAAAGUGGCCACAUCUUUGCUCCAGUCUGUCUUUCUUGAAAAUAGGCCUGUUGUACUGCCUGUUCAUUUUCAGUUAGCUGGGGUUUCGCAACCCCAGGUUGGUGAGGCAGGGUUAUCUCCCUUUGCCUGCUUCGAGCACAGUCUCCAUGGCAUGUCACUGGUCCUAAAUAGGGAUGCAGCGAUUAACCGGUUUCACAAUUAACCUCGCUUUAAAAUGUCACGGUUAAUCGUAAAGGCUCCGCUACACCGAGUGUUUCUGUUGCACAGAACGGAACAGUUGCAACUUGUCUGAAAACAAAGUUAAACUAGCGGUGCACCAGCUUAAAAUGCUGUGCUUAUCAGAGACAUGGAGGCUACUACACACACUAGAUUAACUAUGACAGAGGAACCAAACAGCGAUCCUUUAUUUCCACCAGAGAAACGAAUAAAGUCGAUAGUGUGGGACUAUUUUGGAUACACCAAGAAUGACCAGGGUGUCAUUUAAAUAUUGCCAUAAAAACUGCUGCUAAAGAGCGAAUACACGGCUUUAAACUAUUUUAAUGCACAACGUGAAGGCAAGACUGACACGAAGCUACGGCUCAUUAGCUCAGCAUUCUGCCCGCUUCAGAUCAGACAGAUGAAAUAAUGCAGUAAGAUCACAUUUAUUUGAAUUAAUAAUAACAUUUAGCUACUUUAAUUAAUUAUUUGAUCGUGAGCGAGAGAGAGAGAGAAGUGUGUGUGUGUGUGUGUGUGUGAACCUGCGUCAUCGCGUCUCUUUAGUUAAACAGUGAUUUUACCCCCUCAUUGCUGAUGAAUAUGA
ensembl:lncRNA